AGCUUUGCGCAGUGGCAGUAUCAUAGCCAAUGAGGUUUAUCCGAGGUGUGAUUAUUGCUAAUUGAAAGUUUCUGUUGCUCCACAUCAUCACCAGGAUUUGGUGUUGUCAGGUUUUGAAUUUUAGCCAUUUUGAUGA
ensembl:snRNA U4 U4 spliceosomal RNA